rnacentral:rRNA from 1 species
GGAUGAACGCUGGCGGCGUGCCUAAUACAUGCAAGUCGAGCGAACGGACGAGAAGCUUGCUUCUCUGAUGUUAGCGGCGGACGGGUGAGUAACACGUGGAUAACCUACCUAUAAGACUGGGAUAACUUCGGGAAACCGGAGCUAAUACCGGAUAAUAUUUUGAACCGCAUGGUUCAAAANNNNAAGACGGUCUUGCUGUCACUUAUAGAUGGAUCCGCGCUGCAUUAGCUAGUUGGUAAGGUAACGGCUUACCAAGGCAACGAUGCAUAGCCGACCUGAGAGGGUGAUCGGCCACACUGGAACUGAGACACGGUCCAGACUCCUACGGGAGGCAGCAGUAGGGAAUCUUCCGCAAUGGGCGAAAGCCUGACGGAGCAACGCCGCGUGAGUGAUGAAGGUCUUCGGAUCGUAAAACUCUGUUAUUAGGGAAGAACAUAUGUGUAAGUAACUGUGCACAUCUUGACGGUACCU